rnacentral:tRNA from 1 species
UUCUUAAUUAGUUUAUUUAAAACUAUGUCUUUGCCAAAAUUUGAAGAGUUUGCGGAAUUCG